UAAAAAAUAAACUCCUGGCUUCCAUGGAAGGCAGGAUGGGAAAUGGAAGGAAAGAAUAUGAGUUGAGGUUAGAGUCCUGGCUUCAGAGCCCAGCCCCACUGCUGUGUGGUCCUGGGAAGACCAUGGCCCUUUCCUAAUCUAUUGCCUCACCUGCAAAAUGGCAGUGGUACUGCCACCUCACCAGCAGUGUCCAGACGAGGGAGGUAUGAAGGUACACAUCCACUCCUGCCUGCUCCCCUCCCUACCUUCAUUACCCUCACUGCUGACCUUUGUCCCUCUUUCCCAGGAACACCCUAGGUAACCAACGGAGGAAAUCUGUUGGAGUUGAGGGCCAGGCUGGCAAAUAUGGGGCACAUGGUGCCACUCCUGCCUUCCUUGUCAGUGGCAGACAUUGCUAAUCGAUUGAGGGACUCUUUGUCACCAAACCCUCAGAAUCCUUAACCCAGUGUUCCAAGCAGCCACGAUGAUCUGAUUAGCUUGUGAGCUGAUACCUAUUCUCCGAUCCUUGAGCUAGAAGAGGGCCAGUGGGCCCAGAUCCUAGGAGCCCUGGCUUCUUGCCAUCUGGCAACAGGGUAUGGCUCACCCCCCACCCCGUCCUUCCCUCCUUCCAGGAGGCCAUGCUCUACCACAACCAGACCGCCGAGCUGCGGGAGCUGCUGGAGUUCACCCACAUGUACCUGCAGUCAGAUGAUGAGAUGGAGCUGGAGGAGACAGAACCGCCCCUGGAGCCUGAGGAUGCCCUAUCUGACGCUGAGUUUGAGGGGGAGGGUGACUACGAGGAGGGCAUGUAUGCUGACUGGUGGCAGGAGCCGGAUGCCAAGGGUGACGAGGCUGAGGCUGAGCCAGAGCCUGAACUCGCAUGAGAAGGGGACACCCCACACCCCUCAAGCUUGGGAAGCCUGGUGCCGAUGGCCCCACCCUCACCAGCCUGGGCAGCAGCAAGAACUAUUUAUUAAAAACUUAAGAUGGGCCAGGUGCGGUGGCUCACACCUGUAAUCCCAGCAUUUUGGGAGGCCAAGGUGGGUGGAUCACUUGAGGCCAGGAGUUCAAGACCAGCCUGGCCAACAUGAUGAGACCUCCGUCUCUACUAAAAUACAUAAAUUAGCCGGGUGUGGUGGCAGGUGCCUGAAAUCCCAGCUACUCAAGAGGCUGAGGCAGGAGAAUCGCUUGAACCUGGGAGGCAAAGGUUGCAGUGAACUGAGAUUGCGCCACCGCACUCCAGCCUGGGCGACAGAGCGAGACUCCAUCUUUAAAAAAAAAAAAAAAAAAAAAAAAAAAAAACAAGACGGGCCGGCACGGUGGCUCACGCCUGUAAUCCCAGCACUUUGGGAGGCUGAUCACUUGAGGUCAGGAGUUCAAGACCAGCCUGGCCAACAUGGUGAAACCCCAUCUCUACUAAAAAAUACAAAAAUUAGCCAGGCAUGGUGGCACACACCUGUAAUCGUAGCUGAGGCAGGAGAAUCGCCUGAACCCAGGAGGCGGAGCUUGCAGUGAGCCGAGAUCGUGCCACUGCACUCCAGCCUGGGCGACAGUGAGACUCCAUCUCAAAAAAAAAAAAAAAAAAAAAACUUAAGAUGGACACAGCUGACUGGGCCCCCAUCCUGCCUCACCCGUGGGUGCUGCACCCCAGACCCAUCCUGCCACUUCUAUGUCUCUGGACCACAGGAUGGUGGUGGCAUUGCAGGUUGGCAAGUGGGCUGAUGGGGUCCGCCCUCCUCACUGCUGAGCUCCUCACCUGGACAGUCUCCUGGACGAGGAGUUUCCAGCUGCUGGCUGGAAUCUCACGCCAAAUUGCAGAGGGUCCUCCAGGGUCCUGAAGAGCACUGGACUAAGAGUCUAGUGGUUCCAGGGCCCUGACCAGUAGGUGCUCAAUAAAUGUUUGUUGUUGAAUG
rnacentral:sRNA from 1 species